UUCAUAUUAAGUGAUAGUUCAUUCAAGCCUUCACCAUGAAUGGAAAGAUUGUUUUCUUCGCACUCUUAGUAUUGACCUCCUGCCUUAUUGCCACCGCCUUGGCUGAACCCAACCCUUAUCCGGGCCAUGACUUCUUAAGUGUUAACCCUUCAAACGCAGCUAGUAACACUGAUAACCAAAGAACUCAAGGCCAGCAAAGACAGAAGAAACAAGGAAUCCUAUAGUAAAUCUCGAAGAGGACACACAAUGAACCAAACAUGUGUUAACAUCAAUCUCGAGAACCUUCAAUAAAAUAAACAAUAAAUUGUACAUAAAAAAUA